UACGAAGGGGGCUAGCGUUGUUCGGAAUCACUGGGCGUAAAGCGCGCGUAGGCGGAUUGUUAAGUCGGGGGUGAAAUCCUGAGGCUCAACCUCCGAACUGCCUUCGAUACUGGCGAUCUUGAGUCCGGGAGAGGUGAGUGGAAUUCCUAGUGUAGAGGUGAAAUUCGUAGAUAUUAGGAAGAACACCAGUGGCGAAGGCGGCUCACUGGCCCGGUACUGACGCUGAGGCGCGAAAGCGUGGGGAGCAAACAGG
rnacentral:rRNA from 1 species